AGUGAACGCUGGCGGUAGGCCUAACACAUGCAAGUCGAACGGCAGCACAGUAAGAGCUUGCUCUUACGGGUGGCGAGUGGCGGACGGGUGAGGAAUACAUCGGAAUCUACUUUUUCGUGGGGGAUAACGUAGGGAAACUUACGCUAAUACCGCAUACGACCUACGGGUGAAAGCAGGGGAUCUUCGGACCUUGCGCGAUUGAAUGAGCCGAUGUCGGAUUAGCUAGUUGGCGGGGUAAAGGCCCACCAAGGCGACGAUCCGUAGCUGGUCUGAGAGGAUGAUAAGCCACACUGGAACUGGGACACGGUCCAGACUACUACGGGACGCAGCAGUGGGGAAUAUUGGACAAUGGGCGCAAGCCUGAUCCAGCCAUACCGCGUGGGUGAAGAAGGCCUUCGGGUUGUAAAGCCCUUUUGUUGGGAAAGAAAAGCAGCAGGUUAAUACCCCGCUGUUCUGACGGUACCCAAAGAAUAAGCACCGGCUAACUUCGUG
rnacentral:rRNA from 1 species